GGGGCGGGGGCUCGGUGGUUGAGCAAUCGACUGCAGUAUUGUGCUUAUCGAUAGGCCUCCGGUUCGAUCCCGGAUCGCCCCU